UACGGGGGGGGGCAAGCGUUGUUCGGAAUUACUGGGCGUAAAGGGCUCGUAGGUGGCCAACUAAGUCAGACGUGAAAUCCCUCGGCUUAACCGGGGAACUGCGUCUGAUACUGGAUGGCUUGAGUUCGGGAGAGGGAUGCGGAAUUCCAGGUGUAGCGGUGAAAUGCGUAGAUAUCAGGGGGAACACCGGUGGCGAAGGCGGGCCUCUGGGCCGAUACUGACGCUGAGGAGCGAAAGCGUGGGGAGCGAACAGG
rnacentral:rRNA from 1 species